UACGAAGGGGGCUAGCGUUGUUCGGAAUCACUGGGCGUAAAGCGCACGUAGGCGGACUUUCAAGUCAGGGGUGAAAUCCCGGGGCUCAACCUCGGAAUUGCCUUUGAUACUGUCAAUCUCGAGUCCGGGAGAGGUGAGUGGAAUUCCUAGUGUAGAGGUGAAAUUCGUAGAUAUUAGGAAGAACACCAGUGGCGAAGGCGGCUCACUGGCCCGGAACUGACGCUCAUGAGCGAAAGCGUGGGGAGCAAACAGG
rnacentral:rRNA from 1 species